UUUUAAAAAUACCAAGUAAGAUGCCACGAGGCAUAAGUGCGAUAAUUUAAUCAAUGACAUCAGAAUAAUGUUCGAGAAAUAAGAAUUUAGAUCGAAGCGGGUCAAUUAAAACUUAUUGUAAAAUAAUAAUUUAAGUGGAGAUUAUUAAUUGAUAAAUUGGAUUUUAGCGGGACUAAAGAAAGGUCAAAAAAAUAAAAUAAAAUAAAUGGUAAGUCCCGAAUUAAUAAAUUUUACGAUAAAGUUCGUAAAAUAAAUUUGUGGAGCAAAGAUCAAAUUUUGCACAGUUUGGACGAAAAUAAUUUUGUAAGCGGAAUUUCGCUAUUCGGAAAGAAAGAAAAAUGCUAAGUAAGUAAAUUGGAAAGCCGAGCUAAUAACUUUCACGCCAAGAUCCGUGAAAUGUUAAUAAUAAAUUAUCGUCAAGCUUUUAUAAAUUUACGAAACCGUUUUAAAAUUGGACGCGACAUUAGUUAAGGAAUUGGACUAUAUUGCAAGGGAAGUUUGAUGAGUUAAAGUGGCACUUUUGCCCACUAAAUGACCCCCUAUGUAAGGACACUUGAAUCAUCAUCUUCUUCAUUUUACUUAAUAGCCAAAGAAAACCAAAAACCCCAUUUUUCUUUAUAAAUGGCCGAACCCUACUUUCCCUCUACACAACUCACCAAUUCUCAACCAAAGUCUAUAAUUUUGGAGGCAAAACAAUCACAAGUUAAGGGAGAUUAAGGUGUUAAGCUAUGGUUUUGGAGCUUUGACUUAGAGUUUUGAUGGUGAAUUUUGGAGGAGUUCACUUCGGCCAAGGGCAUAAUUGAUAAAACUCAAGUGUUUUAUUUCAGGUGAUAGUAUUUGAAGAGAUGGACUUCCAUUCUUGUUCCGGAAGUCUACAACAUAUAAAGUAUGUAUUGAAGUACGCUUCAAAUCGUAGCGCUGCAGUAGUCAGUAGAUGUCAGUCUAGAUUUGAUUGUUUGUACCGAACGAGAUCCAGCUGUUAACUCUGAUUUUAUAAAAUAUAUAUAUACGAUUUAUAAAACUAUGUUUUUACCCGUUUGAUAUUUCACCAAUUGUCUAUAAAUGAAAUUGGUAUAAAAUUGUUUGGUUCGGAACAAGGCAAUGCUGAGUUAUGUUAUCGCAGAGUAAGACCUUGGUUCAUAUCGAUUAUGUAUCGGUUUUCAAAGAACGUUUUCGACGCAUAUGAAAUAUUGUUUUACGAUGUUUUUCCCGAAAACGUUUUGUGCAUAACUUUGUGUUUGAUUGCGAAAAAAAUUUACUCGUUUUUUUAGGCUUGCUACGGGUUCCGGAGCAACCACUCCCGUUCCCUAGCGCCGGUCUCGGCCCUCGAUUUCGGGUCGUGACAAAGGUGGUAUCAGAGCAGUUGGUCCAGGAUAUCACUGCUUUGUGUGUCAGUCUACCUAGGAACUACUGCAGCACGUAAGAUUCGAGUCAUGUCUUUGAUCGGUUUUCGUCUGAUUUUAAAACUUUCAACUCUCCUCUCUAGGAUGCGAGUCUGUUAGGACGUUCAAUAGGAUUGUUUGACGAGAAACGCAUGCGUAGAUAUUCCGUUUAUGCCUAGAUAUUCGGCUUAUGUUUAGAUGCUUCGCUUAAGCGUUGAUAUGCCGCUUUCGCGCUCAGGUUUGAUACUUAGAUAUAUGUUUGGCAUCUUAGUAUGACAUAAUCAUGUUGCAAUUGUUGUAAGUUAUGACAUGCGAACUGGAUAAACAGUAUUUCUACGACUCGAUGACAAACCUAGUGUAUUAAGCAUUGUGCGAUAUGGACAUGCUAUCGAAGUUCUACGAUGAAGACACCAAGGGAUGAUUGAUAGAAAGGCGUGGGUCCAAGGAAGUGGAAGAACCUUAAAGUUACAGAGUCUAAGGUCUGGAGAACUUACAAAACUAAAGAUUUAUAACUCGUUCAAAGUUAUUUGUUUAAACGGUUUUAUAAGUAUAAUUGUGCCUAGACCCAAGAUAGAAUUGCAUUACUGCCACGACAUAACUAGAAUUGCAUCACUACAUACAUGAAUACAUGCAUCAAUAGGACAUGCAUCAUAUGCAUUUUACUCAGACGAGAGGUAAGUUGUGGCAACUCUUUGGGGAUGAGAGAUGUCAUCACCCUAGGGCACAAUUAUGCUAAUGUUUAAAAGAUUUAAAUAUGAUUUUCGAAAAAGGGCCCUUUCCUUUGAAUUUCAAGGAUGAUUGAAUUAUGAUUUAAAGAGAUUUGUUUUAAUGUAAGUAUACCUAGACUGGAACUCUGUAACGAAGGUGAAAUGUUUGCUAUCAAGCUACAAGCAACUCUCGAAGACACAACGAACGUGUAUAAGAGCGUGUAGGAGUUACAUUUUGAAAAGGCACGAAGCUAGCCAAAGUUCCACAAUCCAUUACGGGAUUAGAAGAACAAGGUGACACAAGUAGUAAAGUGAAAUAGAUUGAACGAUGAAUUAGGAUGCACCUAUUUUUAAACGAGGUGAUUAGAGAAUCAUGCUACAAAACAAUAGAAGUAUGAAAGGUGAUAGUUGAACAUAGAAAUCGAUCCAUAGCUUAAACAUUAGAGAUAGAAGGUAAUCUCUACGAAUGGAUGAUGCGAAUUUUACGCGAUAUCAUAAGAUCGUUAAGUCUAGUAAAACUAAAAUAUCUUUUGAUUGAACCGUUGGAACGAUUCAAAUUCGGAGUAUGACAUUCCUAAAAUGGUUAUUUAGGAGCUAACUGUUGCGAUCGUCGAACUGAAAACUAAGCGGCAGUUUUCAUAUGAACGUUGACAGUAGGUUUAUAUACAUGAUCAAUCUAAAGGAUGAAUUGUGAAAGUCUAAAGUAUAUAAGGAUUACGAACAUAAGAUACAUAUAAGAUAUAUAUGGUGUGAAAAACAUGAUUAAUGAAGUUAAAUGAUGGAUUCCAUAAAUUGUAUGCUAAGAAGUUGUAAGACUAGGCAGCAUGUUUUACAGUUAAGACAUUCUGACCUACAUAUUAAAGGACAAGUAUACGUACGAGGAACAUAUACAAGUAUAAGAUUAUAAGAUCUGCAUAUGAAUGACAUAGAGCAAGAAGCUUAGUACGAAAACUAUGAAAGGUUUUCGAUGAUCUUUAAACGGGAAUGUAAGCGAUGAUUACCAGGAUGUAAGAUACACGAGAUGGCGAAGAUCAUGUCAAGGAUAUAAAGUUUAAAGGUUCAUAAGUUGAAAUCAAUGAAGGAGUUAGAAUAAAUUAAUGUUUGAGAUAUGUAACGUGUUAAGGACGAAGGUAUUUAGAUAAGAACUUAAUAAAAGAGAGGGAAUACCUUAAUAUAAGCAAGCAUUACAUAAAGGAAAGUUAAGUUACUUUAAGAUUUAAAGAAAAAGAAAGCUAUAGGAAUCAAUGAGGACACAAAGACCCUAAUUGAGGAAAACUACGAUGGAUUAAGUAUGGGGGUAAGGGAAAACCGCUCUUUGGAUGCAAAAGAAAAAGUAAAUGCCAAAGAUACCUACUGAUGAAGUAAAGAAGGAGAAGAAAAUUAAUAGUUAGAGUUCUGACACUGAGAAUGAAGUUGUGGUAUAAAGACAUCGUGCCAAUAGACGACAUAAUUAGUUUGACGUUGUGUAACCUCAACGUAAUAGGUACAUCGAUUGUAUCUAAAUUGUACAUCAAAGGAUGACAAAAAUUUAUUCUUGGAUUGUUGGUAAAAGUUGUUAAGGGUUCAUAAAGGAUUUGGAUAAGAAGAACGGACACGAGGAACGUUAAUGAUUGAUGCUUCAACUUUUGAGAAGUUGACGGAACAAGAUUAAACUGUCUAAUGACAAUGAUGUUUAAUUUAAGAUCUGGGAAGUCUCAAGAGGCGUCUGGACAGGUCGAGACGAUUAUAUAAGGACGUAACCAUUACAAGGAAAGAAAUCAAUGAAGUCUUAAAUUAUGGAAAAUAUUACAAAGGUCAAAUAUAAGAUUUGACAUGGAUUUUGCACGAGAAAUCAAGAAGUUUUAAAGGAAUGCGAUAGUGGAAGAUUAGGAUUAGUCUUAAUGACAUAAUAAAGGUCAGUGUUGGAUGCAUCACAUAAGUAUUAGCGAAUAUUAAUGCAUUGGGUAUUGAGGUGAUCCAAGGAAAAUCACGUUUAAGAUUGUCACUGGAGGUGCAACAAUGUAAAAUGGAAUGACAGACAGCGACAAAGAAGUAAAUGAUUAAGGAAAUAAACAAAAGUAUAUGUUAUAAGUUGCGAAAGUUAUGAGAAAGGUAGUACUGAUGAAUGGAACUACGAUGUACGAAGUGGAGUAAUGCGUUACGAUAAGGAUAAAUUGUGAGUAAAAGUAUGUGUAAAAAGUUGGAUUAUAAAGAAACUACAAGGAAGAAAUGAAGAAUGAUAAUAGAAGUCUAAAGAUGUUACUUCUACAAUUCCAAAUAUAGGUCAUCUAUGAAUCUAUAACCCAACGUAGAAUGACUUUUAUGAAGGAGGUAUAUCGAAAAAAAGAAGUAAAGUAUCUAUCAAGCAUGAGAACCAAAAGGAUAAUCAAGUUUAAUUAAUUAAACUUGAUGCAUACGAAAAUUAUGGGACUUUAUAAGGACUCGAAGAAAAGUUACUUGGGAAACUUCAGCGUAGUAGUUUUAACGAACAAUAUAGCAAUAUAACAGCGCGAAGAAUAAGAUCAAAUACAGAAAAGUGUCAUUAGAUGAAGAAUAUCUAAUGAAAACAAUAAGACACUAAGGUAAAGAGAACACUGGUAGCUAUUAACAAAAAUAGACUACUAAACUAACCCGCAACUUGGAAGUAUGAAAUACAGUCUUAAGGAAGGAAAAAGUGAUACCAGUCCGAUAAAUAGAAAUGGAAUUAAAGGAUCGACAAAUGAGAUAUACCAUGGAAGAUGGACCCGAAACAAAUCAAAUAAUUCCAAGAGUGCACUCAACUUCAUGAGAAAACCAUGAAGUAUGAUUAAGAAAUAUUAAGUUAAACUUUACGCGUUUAGGAGAACGUGUACGAAUAACGUAGAAGGGGGCAGACACUACGAAGAGAUUGGCAUGGUUUAAGGAUGACCACUUCGAUAAAGACAUAGACAUAUAUAUGGAACAAUUUUGAGAGAAACUCGACUCAUGAUACAAGAUCAUGAUGUUAACAAGUUAACGAAGCAAAGUUAACAAUACAUAACAAGGACAUAAUACCUUUUUAAUCUACAACCAACUAGAGUAAAGUUAAGUAUCAGAAGAAGGAAAGUAUUGAUAAAAUAAUGGACAUAAAGUCAAGGUUAGUAAAACUACAGGUGAAGCAAUUACUUUGGAUAAGUAAUUUGAGUAAUGGAAAAUUCAAAAAAACUUUGCCAACAGCAAGUAAGUGGAAAAUCACCAAGGAAUUGACAAUGUGAAAAGUUUCAAGACAACAAUGAUUGUAAAUGUGAAAGUGUAUUAUGCUUAAAAAGGUAAAGUAUAAGAAGCAAGAAUUUAAGUCUUAACAAGGAGGAAUAAGAACUGUUAAGAAGUGUAAUACUUGAUGGAUAAGAGUAUUACUAUAAUUAUGAAAAUUCGAGGACGAAUUUUUAUAAGGGGGGAAGAAUGUAAUACCCCGUACUUUUAAAAAUACCAAGUAAGAUGCCACGAGGCAUAAGUGCGAUAAUUUAAUCAAUGACAUCAGAAUAAUGUUCGAGAAAUAAGAAUUUAGAUCGAAGCGGGUCAAUUAAAACUUAUUGUAAAAUAAUAAUUUAAGUGGAGAUUAUUAAUUGAUAAAUUGGAUUUUAGCGGGACUAAAGAAAGGUCAAAAAAAUAAAAUAAAAUAAAUGGUAAGUCCCGAAUUAAUAAAUUUUACGAUAAAGUUCGUAAAAUAAAUUUGUGGAGCAAAGAUCAAAUUUUGCACAGUUUGGACGAAAAUAAUUUUGUAAGCGGAAUUUCGCUAUUCGGAAAGAAAGAAAAAUGCUAAGUAAGUAAAUUGGAAAGCCGAGCUAAUAACUUUCACGCCAAGAUCCGUGAAAUGUUAAUAAUAAAUUAUCGUCAAGCUUUUAUAAAUUUACGAAACCGUUUUAAAAUUGGACGCGACAUUAGUUAAGGAAUUGGACUAUAUUGCAAGGGAAGUUUGAUGAGUUAAAGUGGCACUUUUGCCCACUAAAUGACCCCCUAUGUAAGGACACUUGAAUCAUCAUCUUCUUCAUUUUACUUAAUAGCCAAAGAAAACCAAAAACCCCAUUUUUCUUUAUAAAUGGCCGAACCCUACUUUCCCUCUACACAACUCACCAAUUCUCAACCAAAGUCUAUAAUUUUGGAGGCAAAACAAUCACAAGUUAAGGGAGAUUAAGGUGUUAAGCUAUGGUUUUGGAGCUUUGACUUAGAGUUUUGAUGGUGAAUUUUGGAGGAGUUCACUUCGGCCAAGGGCAUAAUUGAUAAAACUCAAGACCCGGCGAGAGAUUACUAAGGGGACUCAGAACGUGACGAACGCUAUACCGCUUUGUUAAUUCUCAAAGAUUAUGGAUAGCAAGUGUGUUUUAUUUCAGGUGAUAGUAUUUGAAGAGAUGGACUUCCAUUCUUGUUCCGGAAGUCUACAACAUAUAAAGUAUGUAUUGAAGUACGCUUCAAAUCGUAGCGCUGCAGUAGUCAGUAGAUGUCAGUCUAGAUUUGAUUGUUUGUACCGAACGAGAUCCAGCUGUUAACUCUGAUUUUAUAAAAUAUAUAUAUACGAUUUAUAAAACUAUGUUUUUACCCGUUUGAUAUUUCACCAAUUGUCUAUGAAUGAAAUUGGUAUAAAAUUGUUUGGUUCGGAACAAGGCAAUGCUGAGUUAUGUUAUCGCAGAGUAAGACCUUGGUUCAUAUCGAUUAUGUAUCGGUUUUCAAAGAACGUUUUCGACGCAUAUGAAAUAUUGUUUUA